UCUAGUUUCUCCGUAAUUUAG
rnacentral:piRNA from 1 species